GACGAACGCUGGCGGCGUGCUUAACACAUGCAAGUCGAACGGAAAGGCCCUGCUUUGGUGGGGUGCUCGAGUGGCGAACGGGUGAGUAACACGUGAGUAACCUGCCCUUGACUUUGGGAUAACUUCAGGAAACUGGGGCUAAUACCGGAUAGGAGCUCCUGCUGCAUGGUGGGGGUUGGAAAGUUUCGGCGGUUGGGGAUGGACUCGCGGCUUAUCAGCUUGUUGGUGGGGUAGUGGCUUACCAAGGCUUUGACGGGUAGCCGGCCUGAGAGGGUGACCGGCCACAUUGGGACUGAGAUACGGCCCAGACUCCUACGGGAGGCAGCAGUGGGGAAUAUUGCACAAUGGGCGGAAGCCUGAUGCAGCAACGCCGCGUGCGGGAUGACGGCCUUCGGGUUGUAAACCGCUUUCGCCUGUGACGAAGCGUGAGUGACGGUACUGGGUAAAGAAGCACCGGCUAACUACGUG
rnacentral:rRNA from 1 species